GACGUAGGGCGCGAGCGUUGUCCGGAUUUAUUGGGCGUAAAGAGCUCGUAGGCGGCUUGUCGCGUCGAAUGUGAAAACUCGGGGCUCAACCCCGCGCUUGCAUUCGAUACGGGCAGACUAGAGUGCGGUAGGGGAGACUGGAAUUCCUGGUGUAGCGGUGAAAUGCGCAGAUAUCAGGAGGAACACCGGUGGCGAAGGCGGGUCUCUGGGCCGUAACUGACGCUGAGGAGCGAAAGCGUGGGGAGCGAGCAGG
rnacentral:rRNA from 1 species